UUAAGUUAUUAAGGGCGCACGGUGGAUGCCUUGGCACUAGAAGCCGAUGAAGGACGUUACUAACGACGAUAUGCUUUGGGGAGCUGUAAGUAAGCUUUGAUCCAGAGAUUUCCGAAUGGGGAAACCCAGCAUGAGUUAUGUCAUGUUAUCGAUAUGUGAAUACAUAGCAUAUCAGAAGGCACACCCGGAGAACUGAAACAUCUUAGUACCCGGAGGAAGAGAAAGAAAAUUCGAUUCCCUUAGUAGCGGCGAGCGAAACGGGAAGAGCCCAAACCAACAAGCUUGCUUGUUGGGGUUGUAGGACACUCUAUACGGAGUUACAAAGGACGACAUUAGACGAAUCAUCUGGAAAGAUGAAUCAAAGAAGGUAAUAAUCCUGUAGUCGAAAAUGUUGUCUCUCUUGAGUGGAUCCUGAGUACGACGGAGCACGUGAAAUUCCGUCGGAAUCUGGGAGGACCAUCUCCUAAGGCUAAAUACUCUCUAGUGACCGAUAGUGAACCAGUACCGUGAGGGAAAGGUGAAAAGCACCCCGGAAGGGGAGUGAAAUAGAACCUGAAACCGUGUGCUUACAAGUAGUCAGAGCCCGUUAAUGGGUGAUGGCGUGCCUUUUGUAGAAUGAACCGGCGAGUUACGAUUUGAUGCAAGGUUAAGCAGUAAAUGUGGAGCCGUAGCGAAAGCGAGUCUGAAUAGGGCGUUUAGUAUUUGGUCGUAGACCCGAAACCAGGUGAUCUACCCUUGGUCAGGUUGAAGUUCAGGUAACACUGAAUGGAGGACCGAACCGACUUACGUUGAAAAGUGAGCGGAUGAACUGAGGGUAGCGGAGAAAUUCCAAUCGAACCUGGAGAUAGCUGGUUCUCUCCGAAAUAGCUUUAGGGCUAGCCUCAAGUGAUGAUUAUUGGAGGUAGAGCACUGUUUGGACGAGGGGCCCUCUCGGGUUACCGAAUUCAGACAAACUCCGAAUGCCAAUUAAUUUAACUUGGGAGUCAGAACAUGGGUGAUAAGGUCCGUGUUCGAAAGGGAAACAGCCCAGACCACCAGCUAAGGUCCCAAAAUAUAUGUUAAGUGGAAAAGGAUGUGGCGUUGCCCAGACAACUAGGAUGUUGGCUUAGAAGCAGCCAUCAUUUAAAGAGUGCGUAAUAGCUCACUAGUCGAGUGACACUGCGCCGAAAAUGUACCGGGGCUAAACAUAUUACCGAAGCUGUGGAUUGUCCUUUGGACAAUGGUAGGAGAGCGUUCUAAGGGCGUUGAAGCAUGAUCGUAAGGACAUGUGGAGCGCUUAGAAGUGAGAAUGCCGGUGUGAGUAGCGAAAGACGGGUGAGAAUCCCGUCCACCGAUUGACUAAGGUUUCCAGAGGAAGGCUCGUCCGCUCUGGGUUAGUCGGGUCCUAAGCUGAGGCCGACAGGCGUAGGCGAUGGAUAACAGGUUGAUAUUCCUGUACCACCUAUAAUCGUUUUAAUCGAUGGGGGGACGCAGUAGGAUAGGCGAAGCGUGCGAUUGGAUUGCACGUCUAAGCAGUAAGGCUGAGUAUUAGGCAAAUCCGGUACUCGUUAAGGCUGAGCUGUGAUGGGGAGAAGACAUUGAGUCUUCGAGUCGUUGAUUUCACACUGCCGAGAAAAGCCUCUAGAUAGAAAAUAGGUGCCCGUACCGCAAACCGACACAGGUAGUCAAGAUGAGAAUUCUAAGGUGAGCGAGCGAACUCUCGUUAAGGAACUCGGCAAAAUGACCCCGUAACUUCGGGAGAAGGGGUGCUCUUUAGGGUUAACGCCCAGAAGAGCCGCAGUGAAUAGGCCCAAGCGACUGUUUAUCAAAAACACAGGUCUCUGCUAAACCGUAAGGUGAUGUAUAGGGGCUGACGCCUGCCCGGUGCUGGAAGGUUAAGAGGAGUGGUUAGCUUCUGCGAAGCUACGAAUCGAAGCCCCAGUAAACGGCGGCCGUAACUAUAACGGUCCUAAGGUAGCGAAAUUCCUUGUCGGGUAAGUUCCGACCCGCACGAAAGGCGUAACGAUUUGGGCACUGUCUCAACGAGAGACUCGGUGAAAUCAUAGUACCUGUGAAGAUGCAGGUUACCCGCGACAGGACGGAAAGACCCCGUGGAGCUUUACUGUAGCCUGAUAUUGAAAUUCGGCACAGCUUGUACAGGAUAGGUAGGAGCCUUUGAAACGUGAGCGCUAGCUUACGUGGAGGCGCUGGUGGGAUACUACCCUAGCUGUGUUGGCUUUCUAACCCGCACCACUUAUCGUGGUGGGAGACAGUGUCAAGCGGGCAGUUUGACUGGGGCGGUCGCCUCCUAAAAGGUAACGGAGGCGCUCAAAGGUUCCCUCAGAAUGGUUGGAAAUCAUUCAUAGAGUGUAAAGGCAUAAGGGAGCUUGACUGCGAGACCUACAAGUCGAGCAGGGUCGAAAGACGGACUUAGUGAUCCGGUGGUUCCGCAUGGAAGGGCCAUCGCUCAACGGAUAAAAGCUACCCCGGGGAUAACAGGCUUAUCUCCCCCAAGAGUUCACAUCGACGGGGAGGUUUGGCACCUCGAUGUCGGCUCAUCGCAUCCUGGGGCUGUAGUCGGUCCCAAGGGUUGGGCUGUUCGCCCAUUAAAGCGGUACGCGAGCUGGGUUCAGAACGUCGUGAGACAGUUCGGUCCCUAUCCGUCGUGGGCGUAGGAAAUUUGAGAGGAGCUGUCCUUAGUACGAGAGGACCGGGAUGGACAUACCUCUGGUGUACCAGUUGUCGUGCCAACGGCAUAGCUGGGUAGCUAUGUGUGGACGGGAUAAGUGCUGAAAGCAUCUAAGCAUGAAGCCCCCCUCAAGAUGAGAUUUCCCAACUUCGGUUAUAAGAUCCCUCAAAGAUGAUGAGGUUAAUAGGUUCGAGGUGGAAGCAUGGUGACAUGUGGAGCUGACGAAUACUAAUCGAUCGAAGACUUAAUCAA
rnacentral:rRNA from 1 species